AUGAUCCACCUUUUCUUUCACUCGCCUCUCCUCCAGCAAAUCUAUAAUGCAUUUAAUCUUCAGCAGUCACUCUCCUCAGUUUUUAAAUGUCUAAUUUGCUGCCGAGUGCAGCUCCAAUUCUCUCUGUGCCGCCGUUUUAACUCUCUGCCUUGUGUUUGCCCAAUUGCUUGUCUGCUUGGAUGGAGAGACCCGACUGCACCUGAUCCUUCGGAGAGAGGGAGGGGGAGAGAAGCUUACCGGAGGGCAGAGACUUCGCAGCGUCGUUGUCCAGGCAAACACCUUGGUGCUUUGGGAGACUACCUGCUUUGCUCACACCACAGCCAGCAGGCUGCUGUCAAGCAAGGCUUUCCCCUGUGCCAAGAGCAGGCUCCCCAGCCCUCGGCUGGCUGGAGCAGGCGUGCGGUGCCUGGGCCAUGCUGCCAGCACUGGCACGAAGCCUCCUUCAGCCCACAGCAAGGCAGGAGGUGGGGAUGGUUUCACCAAACCUCGUGGGUUUGUUCCCAAGCGCCCAGACUCGCUCUGACCCUUCCAAGGCUGCUCAGGCAGAACCUGUCCCCAGGAGCCCCCACCCCAGCCCUGGCAGCCCCUGACUGCUCUUCCUCUGUGCCCCACCAUCAUCCCCACUCAACCCGAGCAACCCAGUGUCACUGCUGUAACUGGCAGCCCCCAGCAUACUGGGGAUGCUGGGCACUGCCCUCCCACCCCACCUGUGCUCCCAGCUGCGGCCACUUCUCUGCCCCAUCUGAGAGCACUCAGCACCAGCCUGCGUGCCUGCUGCCAGCUGUGGGUGUUAAUGCCCUCUGCAGGGGCUGGUGGUGUGGCUGUUUGGGACUGCUCUGCAGGAUGCUGAGGGCAGCUGGAGCAUGGACCUGACUCAGACUUAGAUGUACCUGUGUGACUAGCACUUCUACUAGUGAACAACAGCCUUCUAGCACGGUGGUCAACUUUUACCCAGGCUUUCCAAGCACAAGGUGAUUUAGACUCAGAGCACUUAGAAGGAUGAAGCCCAGGGGCUGGAGCAGCAGGCGGGUGCGUGCAGCGUGCCCUGGGGAUUGGGGCCAGUCCGGCUCCCAGGCUGAGCUCACAGACCCCCAGCCCUUUGACUGACAGAGUCUGGGACAGGUACUGCUGAGAGCCUUGGCUCCUGUGCUCUGCAUCUGCGUGUGUACAUGUGGGUGCGUGGGCCAGAUCUGCACCGGGCUUCUGCGUGUUGUGACAAUUCCUUCCCCCGUUUGUGGCAACCUCGUCUGCGAAGUCAUCUCAGCAGCCUCCUUCCAAUGAAAACCAUGAAGGAGUUUUCCACCACUGAAGAAAUACCUUUGUUUGCUUUUCAAUUAAAUGCUGAAGGUUUUGUCUGUUUUUGUUUGCUUGUUUGUUUGUUUCCCCAACCUUCUUGUCCGAGUUUAUUGGGUACAGCUGGGUCUUAUUUCUCAAGCUUUUCUGUGCAGCAGCAACAACAGCUUUCUUCCAUGCUUACUUCCACCUAGGAGCUGGAGUCUUGAAGGAAGAUGUAAGCACUUUGCAGCACGCAGUCAUCUGGCAACAGUGGCAGUGAUAGAGAUGAAAGACAAUCAGGCUCCGGUGUAAUUCAGAGCUCCAAAUCAGCCUUGUAGCUCCACAUUAGUUUGAACUAGGCUGAAAAAGGUUGGGAACUGCAGUUAGUAAUGAAUGUGUCCAAAUCUUGCUGAUUUCAAAGCAAAAAAGAAGGGAUGGAAUCUGUCUAAAAGUUAUUAAAGAGCCCCAAAGCUUGUCGCUUGUCCUANNNNNNNNNNNNNNNNNNNNNNNNNNNNNNNNNNNNNNNNNNNNNNNNNNNNNNNNNNNNNNNNNNNNNNNNNNNNNNNNNNNNNNNNNNNNNNNNNNNNUUUUUUUUUUUUUUUUUUUUUGAAUAUAUUUUGGAAAUCAAGUAAUAAUCUUUGUGUAAUUUACCUCUUUCAUUGAACAGCUCAGGGACCAGAUUUCCCCUUGAUAGAUUAUUUUGACAUAUUUACUCAUAGCUAUGUCUAUCUCAGCAGCAUCCAAAGAAAAACCUCAAACUUUAAAUUAACAUGUAGGGAUUGAGAUUUUUGCCUGAAGUCAAACAAUCUUAAACAACUCUCCUCCCCCUGGCUUUUAGUUAUAUUUAGGUCUAAAGCUGUAACUACAAUAAAGCCACAAGCACAUUUUUCA
rnacentral:lncRNA from 1 species